GAUGAACGCUGGCGGCGUGCCUAAUACAUGCAAGUCGAGCGGACAGACGAGGAGCUUGCUCCUGUUACGUUAGCGGCGGACGGGUGAGUAACACGUGGGCAACCUACCUUGUAGACGGGGAUAACUUCGGGAAACCGGAGCUAAUACCGGAUAAUAUUUCGUAUCGCAUGGUUUUAUAUUGAAAGACGGCGCUGCUUUCACUUAUAGGUUGGGCUGCGCCGUAUUAGCUAGUUGGUAAGGUAACGGCUUACCAAGGCAACGAUACGUAGCCGACCUGAGAGGGUGAUCGGCCACACUGGAACUGAGACACGGUCCAGACUCCUACGGGAGGCAGCAGUAGGGAAUCUUCCGCAAUGGGCGAAAGCCUGACGGAGCAACGCCGCGUGAGUGAUGAAGGUCUUCGGAUCGUAAAACUCUGUUAUUAGGGAAGAACAAACGUGUAAGUAACUGUGCACGUCUUGACGGUACCUAAUCAGAAAGCCACGGCUAACUACGUG
rnacentral:rRNA from 1 species